GACGAACCGUGCGAACGUUGUUCGGAAUCACUGGGCUUAAAGGGCGCGUAGGCGGCUCUCUUGGUCGUGGGUGAAAUCCCCCAGCUUAACUGGGGAAGGGCUUACGAUACCGGGGGGCUCGAGGGAGGAAGGGGCGGUCGGAACUGUCGGUGGAGUGGUGAAGUGCGUUGAUAUCGACAGGAACGCCGGUGGCGAAAGCGGACCGCUGGCCCUCUUCUGACGCUGAGGCGCGAAAGCCAGGGGAGCGAACGGG
rnacentral:rRNA from 1 species